AAUAGAUACCCGGGUAGUCCACGCCGUAAACGAUGAGUGCUAAGUGUUAGAGGGUUUCCGCCCUUUAGUGCUGCAGCAAACGCAUUAAGCACUCCGCCUGGGGAGUACGGUCGCAAGACUGAAACUCAAAGGAAUUGACGGGGGCCCGCACAAGCGGUGGAGCAUGUGGUUUAAUUCGAAGCAACGCGAAGAACCUUACCAGGUCUUGACAUCCCGUGACAACUCUAGAGAUAGAGCUUUCCCCUUCGGGGGACACGGUGACAGGUGGUGCAUGGUUGUCGUCAGCUCGUGUCGUGAGAUGUUGGGUUAAGUCCCGCAACGAGCGCAACCCUUGAUCUUAGUUGCCAGCAUUAAGUUGGGCACUCUAAGGUGACUGCCGGUGACAAACCGGAGGAAGGUGGGGAUGACGUCAAAUCAUCAUGCCCCUUAUGACCUGGGCUACACACGUGCUACAAUGGAUGGUACAAAGGGCAGCAAAACCGCGAGGUUAAGCCAAUCCCAUAAAACCAUUCUCAGUUCGGAUUGCAGGCUGCAACUCG
rnacentral:rRNA from 1 species